rnacentral:lncRNA from 1 species
AAGUCCGGUAUGCACUCGAAGAAUACGGCUGUUUCGUGGCGUUUUAUGAUAAAGUUUCUGCAGAACUUCUAGACAAAAUCUUUGGUCAGACCAAAGAUCUGUUUGAGGUUCCAAUUGAAAGCAAAAUAAAGAACACAAGUGAGGAACCAUAUCGUGGGUAUAUUGGGUCAAACCCUCUCAUGCCUCUCUAUGAAGGCUUGGCCAUCGACAAUGUCACGUCCCCACAAGAAACUCAUAAAUUCAGACAACUUAUGUGGCCCGAUGGCAAGAACAACUUCUGGUAAUUCCCCUUUUUAUACUAUUAAAUGUUAAAGGGUAAUAUUCUCUUGUCAUACUUAUAUUCUAUAGGGCUAACGACGAAACACACCCUUGAUGUUCGGGGUCAUUUUCAAUAUGGCUCCCGGCUUUCAAUUUCAUCAAUUUACACCCUAUGAUUUUCACAUAUGACCAAUUUAAACCUUCCAUGCCGAAUUCUUACUCGAAAUUGGUUUAAAUUUACAAUCCAACAUAUGCAUUUGUUUGACAACUUAAAUCUCGAAAUAUCGUUACUCAUUUAACAAAAUCCUUAAAUUUUUUAUAACACGUACUUAAUUUCUAUUUUCUUGUUUUGGACAGUGAGAUCAUAGAUUCAUAUGCCGAGUUAUUAGCAGGCUUGGAGCACACAGUGGAACAAAUGCUGUUUGAAAGCUUUGAGGCAGCAAAGCAGUACGAGUCUUGCUAGCUACAACAGUCAACUUCUUAGGUUCCUCAAAUAUAACACACUAAAGGAAACUGAUGCCACCUUAAGGUUUGCGAGCCAUACAGACAAGAACUUUGCCACCAUUGUUGUUCAGCACGAUGUUGGUGGGUUGGAGGUCCAAACAAAGGGAAGGUGAUUGGAUUAGCAUUGAGUCGGCACCUUCACAGUUCUUGUUCAUGGCCGGUGAUGGAUUGCAGGUGGGUACCAUACAUAUACGUAUUCGUGCUUGUUGAUAAAUAUACAAGGACAAUUUUCUAAACCUUAAACUAAAUUUUGCUCAUCAUACCACGAUAUAAUAUUUUCUUUUUGGAGUUGGUUUAAUUAGGUAUGGAGUAAUGACAGAAUAAAAGCUUGCCACCAUCGAGUGAAGGAUUGUGGGGACAAGAUAAGAUACUCACUUGGGAUGUUUACAUUCAACAAUCGGGUGUUGCAAGUACCGCAAGAACAAGUGGAUGA